UACGUAGGGUGCAAGCGUUAAUCGGAAUUACUGGGCGUAAAGCGUGCGCAGGCGGUUGUGCAAGACAGAUGUGAAAUCCCCGGGCUCAACCUGGGAACUGCAUUUGUGACUGCACGGCUAGAGUGUGUCAGAGGGGGGUAGAAUUCCACGUGUAGCAGUGAAAUGCGUAGAGAUGUGGAGGAAUACCGAUGGCGAAGGCAAUCCCCUGGGCCUGCACUGACGCUCAUGCACGAAAGCGUGGGGAGCAAACAGG
rnacentral:rRNA from 1 species